ACUCUCAAACUAUCAAUUUAACAAGUAAACUCACAUUUUCCUACUCUAUGCUGGUGGAUAUGAAUAAUCAGGAAGGAGACAUAGAUGCUGGACUUUUCCCCUAGAUGCUGGACUUUUCCCCUAGGAGAGAAAGAUUCAUUUAUGACCUGCUUUUUUUUUUUGGAAAAGCAGAAGAAACCCAAAUUAUAAUCCAUAAGGUAUUCACCUGAGCACAUGCUGACUUCAUGCUUUCAGGAAUGAAAUGCCUAACUCACCGGAUCGACUUGGGUCAGAGAUACUGAUAAACCUCUCAUGCCUUGAAAUUGCAGUGGAAAGCAAGUUCAGCCACUUGCCGCUUGAGAAGCCGAAUACACAAGAGAUGGAAAAAGAGGGUGCUGGCAGAAGGAUCCCUGGUUGGGCAGCGACAUGCCAGUGUGUCCAGAGGAGUUCCCUGCCUGCCAGGAAUCUCAGCAGACAUAGUGAUGUGAAGGAGCAAGACAAAAUGCCAGCAGAGACAGGGUUUCACCCUGUUAGCCAGGAUGGUCUCGAUCUCCUGACCUCAUGAUCCAUCCGCCUCGGCCCCCC
rnacentral:antisense_RNA from 1 species